rnacentral:rRNA from 1 species
CACGUAGGGACCAAGCGUUGUCCGGAUUUAUGGGGCGUAAAGAGCUCGUAGGCGGUUCGGUAAGUCGGGUGUGAAAACUCUGGGCUCAACUCGGAGAGGCCACCCGAUACUGCCGUGACUCGAGUCCGGAAGGGGAGCACGGAAUUCCUGGUGUAGCGGUGAAAUGCGCAGAUAUCAGGAGGAACACCGGUGGCGAAGGCGGUGCUCUGGGCCGGUACUGACGCUGAUGAGCGAAAGCUUGGGUAGCAAACAGG